GACGAACGCUGGCGGCGUGCUUAACACAUGCAAGUCGAACGGUGAAGCGCCUUCCUUUUUGGUGGGUGUGGAUGAGUGGCGAACGGGUGAGUAACACGUGAGUCACCUGCUCCCUCCUUCUGGACAACCGCAUGACAGUGUGGCUAAUACGGGAUAUUUUGGAUCUGUUGCAUGAUGGGUCUGGGACAGUUUUUGUUUCGGUGGGGGAUGGAUUCGCGGCGUAUUAGCUUGUUGGUGGGGUGAUGGCCUACCAAGGCGGCGAUGCGUAGCCGCCCUGAGAGGAGGGUCGACGGUCACAGUGCUAAGAAGAGGCGCAGCAGACUCCGAGGGGAGGCAGCAGGGAGUAAUAUGGCACGGUGGGAGGAAGGCUGAUGCAGCGACGCCGCGGGGAGGAUGGUGGCCGUCGCGUUAUGAACCGCUUUCGGGAGUGAAGCAGUGCUGCAUCGUCUGUGCGUGGGUUGACGGUACCUGGACAAGAAGCGCCGGCUAACUACGUG
rnacentral:rRNA from 1 species